rfam:Spinacia oleracea cultivar SynViroflay scaffold14720.con0002.1, whole genome shotgun sequence.
UGCAAUCAAUGAUGAAAAUUUUAUCCGAAAUUAUCAUGAGUUAAUAUCAAUGAUUAAUUUGAUAAAUAAUCACCAUCUUUCGGCUGAGAUUGCA